AGUGAACGCUGGCGGUAGGCCUAACACAUGCAAGUCGAACGGCAGCACAGUAAGAGCUUGCUCUUACGGGUGGCGAGUGGCGGACGGGUGAGGAAUACAUCGGAAUCUACUUUUUCGUGGGGGAUAACGUAGGGAAACUUACGCUAAUACCGCAUACGACCUACGGGUGAAAGCAGGGGAUCUUCGGACCUUGCGCGAUUGAAUGAGCCGAUGUCGGAUUAGCUAGUUGGCGGGGUAAAGGCCCACCAAGGCGACGAUCCGUAGCUGGUCUGAGAGGAUGAUCAGCCACACUGGAACUGAGACACGGUCCAGACUCAUACGGGAGGCAGCAGUGGGGAAUAUUGGACAAUGGGAGCAAGCCUGAUCCAGACAUACCGCGUGGGUGAAGAAGGCCUUCGGGUUGGAAAGCCCUUUUGUUGGGAAAGAAAAGCAGAAGGUUAAUACCCCGCUGUUCUGACGGUACCCAAAGAAUAAGCACCGGCUAACUUCGUG
rnacentral:rRNA from 1 species